ACCCAAGCAAAUGCUGCAGCAGUGAUUGAAGUCUGGUUGUCUGUGCAGACUAAGAAUUACUUUUGAGGCAGGUGCUGUCCUGAGCUUUAGAAGGAAACAGGUAGAAGGGAGGCAGGACGUUGAACUGAUUCAAUGGCAUUAACACAUCUAAUGUCAAAAAGUCACCUUUUCUUUCCUUGGAACAGUUUUUGAGGAAUUCAAAGUUAAAAAUAAAAGCAUCCAGUUUAUAUGAAACAAUAAUGAAUUUUUCGUUUUUUUCUGUAGUUUUAUAGGUUGCUGAAACACAUUUCCAGUGUUUUCUAUUUCCCCCCUGUAUGUAUCACAAUUAUGUGAUUAAAGGCCAGAUAUUUUGUUGUAACUUAACAGGGUAUACUGGAGUGGUUAUUGUUUAACUCUACCAGAUUAUCUAUUUAAGUGUUUGCUGUGUGAACACAAGAUCUGUCUCCUCUCAUUCGGAGUGCUAAUUGCAGCCCUGGCUUCUAGGUAUGUUUGUGCCUUGUACAGUGUGGUCUCACCAUCUCUCUUGUGCUCUAUGGCUCCAGGUGUCUCAAAGAGAGCUCUUGAGUGUCUGGAGGCAGAGAGCCAGGCAGAAGGCACUAAGUUUUGGGGCUUUACUUUCAAAGGACAUCAUGGCUACUGCCUUGUGCAGUGGUACCGUUGCAAUUGGGUGGUCCAGGACCAUUCCCUUCCUACCACAUGAACUGAAAUAUUAAAUAUAUGGUUGACAGAUCACUCAUUUCAAGCAUCACAAUGCAUUUUUUGUUCUGACUACAUUAAGAAACAUUUUUCAAAAUACUGCUAUUUCAUACAGAAUUGAAAUCCUUAUUUUAUGCAAAAAAUAAUGUGUAAUCAUAGCGAAUAUGGGCAAUACAGCAGUGCUGUUCCAGAUAUUUUGGAAAUUACUGACAUUUUUUUCUUGUGAUAAUGCUGAUUGCAGAAAGAAACUUACCUUGUGAAUAUUGAACACCUCAGUGUUAAAGGGCUUUAUCUUCUAUCUAUUAUCCCCCUCUUCCCUUGUAAAAAUAGUCUUCUGAAUAUGUUGUCUCUUAUAUAAUGGUUAGUGCAUUUAGCAAGUAUAUAUUGUUUUUCAGAAAAAUAUCCAAGGGAAUUGUCAUCAGUAUUUAGAGAUUGAAAAUAUUCUUGAGUCUAGUAUUUGCUGUUAUAUGAAAAUAUAUUCUUAUUUUUAUUUUUUUACAGGUGUAUCAACUUAUGUCUUGACAGACACAAGACGGUGUUGAAGAACCUAUAAAUAUGAAAGGCCCAGUGAGCAUGUUCAUAUAUAUUAAAAAAUUUCUCCCAGGGAAUUUGAGUGUUUUUUACUCAAGACUGCAUGUUAUACUUUCCAGCAUGUGAUGUGAAUGCAGAUGGCUCUUUGUACCUGGAGGAAGAAAACAAAGGAACACAACUGUUUGCUCAUGUUGUGGCUGUGUAUGUGAGAUGUGAGGGGAAAAGGUAUCUUUUCAAUGUAGUUUUCUUUUUAACAGAAUUAUUGAAUGUGGGAGCAUAAAAGUAGUUAGCAUUACCUGCCCUACAGUUUUCUAUCUGUUUGGAUGCAGAAAAUCAGAACUAAUUAAAUGAAACUUGUAUUAACAUAAAGACAAAAUGCUUAUAUUCAAUUAUGUAUAUCUUUUAAUAUGAAGACAAUAAUUUAGAAGAGCUUUAAAGGUAUUAAAUUUCUAUACCAUCAAGCUCA